rnacentral:rRNA from 1 species
GACGGAGGAUGCAAAGUGUUAUCCGGAAUCACUGGGCGUAAAGCGUCUGUAGGUGGUCAAAUAAGUCAACUGUUAAAUCUUGAGGCUCAACCUCAAAAUCGCAGUCGAAACUAUUAGACUAGAGUAUAGUAGGGGUAAAGGGAAUUUCCAGUGGAGCGGUGAAAUGCGUAGAGAUUGGAAAGAACACCGAUGGCGAAGGCACUUUACUGGGCUAUUACUAACACUCAGAGACGAAAGCUAGGGUAGCAAAUGGG